UAGGGAAUCUUGGACAAUGGGCGCAAGCCUGAUCCAGCCAUGCCGCGUGAGUGAAGAAGGCCUUAGGGUCGUAAAGCUCUUUCGCCUGUGAUGAUAAUGACAGUAGCAGGUAAAGAAACCCCGGCUAACUCCGUGCCAGCAGCCGCGGUAAUACGGAGGGGGUUAGCGUUGUUCGGAAUUACUGGGCGUAAAGCGCGCGUAGGCGGAUUGGAAAGUUAGAGGUGAAAUCCCGGGGCUCAACCCCGGAACGGCCUUUAAAACUCCCAGUCUAGAGUUCGAGAGAGGUGAGUGGAAUUCCAAGUGUAGAGGUGAAAUUCGUAGAUAUUUGGAGGAACACCAGUGGCGAAGGCGGCUCACUGGCUCGAUACUGACGCUGAGGUGCGAAAGUGUGGGGAGCAAACAGG
rnacentral:rRNA from 1 species